CCCUGAGAUGUGUAUAAGGGCCAUCACUGGUGUAUCUCUUGCUGAUAUAAUGGCCAAGAGGAAUCAGAAAACUGAAAUUAGGAAGGCUCAACAAGAACAAGCCAUCAGGGCUGCCAAGGAAGCAAAAAAUGCUAAGCAAGCAUCU